rnacentral:rRNA from 1 species
AACGUAGGAGACAACCGUUAUCCGGAGUUACUGGGCGUAAAGGGCGUGUAGGCGGUUUGUUAAGUCUGGCGUGAAAGCUCUCGGCUAAACCGGGAGAGGUCGUUGGAUACUCGCAGACUAGAGGACGGUAGAGGCGUGUGGAAUUCCGGGUGUAGUGGUGAAAUGCGUAGAGAUCCGGAGGAACACCAGUGGCGAAGGCGGCCCCCUGGGCCGGUAUUGACGCUGAGGCGCGAAAGCGUGGGGAGCAAACAGG